GCCGCGGAUCCCAGCUCUUGUUGCCGUGCGAACGCCCUGGCUGCAGUAGCAGUGCUACUCGAGGCCUGUGCCGCGUCGCUUAACGGGGUCAGCGAAAUUCUCUGUUACGACUUGUUACCUAUUGUCAGAUGCCCAACUGUACAAGGAUGUGAGGUUCUAACUAAUUCAGAUGGCAGUACUGAAUUGUUGCAGAGAAAUAAGAAGACACUUUCUGCAUGAAAGAACAAACAUUGCCUCAGUGGAAGAAAAAGGGAACAGAAGCAAACUGAAAAUGUUUGUAUUUUCUGAAGGAAGAAAAAGUCAAGAUGUUAUCUUUCAAGGAUGACUGUACUUCAGGUACAUUGGUUGGGAUGCAAUCAGCAAUGAAUUUUAGUCCCUAAAGUGCCUCAGCGGGUGAAGAUGUGAUUGUGGAAUAAAGGGAGCCAUGGAAAUUCAAAAUGAUGAACAGCUCAACAAAAAUUUGCAAUCUACUGGCAUUAUGAAGAAUAUCAGAAUAUUAUUAAUUGUGUUAAAAGUCCUCUGCACAUCCCAUCUGAAUCUGCUGAGAAGUCUGGCCACUCAAAACCUGCAUUUUCCAAAGAAUUUGCUGAAAGAUGAAACAAAAAAAGGAAAAAAGUUCAUCUCUAGUGACAAAAGCAUUUGUUUGCAAGAACUUCUCACAAAUGGCAGAAGAAUUUCCUGUUAAUAUCUUUGGGUCAGAUCCUUGCAUGAUACACAUUAGUCUUU